rnacentral:rRNA from 1 species
AUGCAGUUGGGAGAGAAACAAGGGAUGAUGACCGAAGUCGAGGCUCUUAAGAAAGUUGUGGCCGAGGCCGAGGAAAAGGCAGCCACAGAGCAGGCCCUCCGUGAGAAGCACGAGGCCAGGGUUAUUAAAGCUGAGCAGGAACUACAAGAGGCCGUGAAGAAAUGCGAGACCUUGGAGCAGAGUUUAACGGAGAAAGAAUCCGAACUCACCAAGGCGCAUCAGGCCACGAGCGAUGCCCGGGGGGAAACCCAAAGCGCCCUGCAGGGGAUCCAAGAGGCGAGGAAGAUUUCCGUGGGGGUGUUUGCGGAGCUGCCCCGCAGCAUAGCGGAUGCCGCCCAAUUCUACCGGGCCGAAGAAAGGAACACUGCGGAUAAGCUCUUCUGGUCGCAGUAUUUGGCACCGAAUUAUCCGGUGCCUUUUGCCGAUCAACUGAAGCAGCUGAUCGAACUGCAUAAGGCAGUGGAAUUAGCCAUGAAGGAUUUGAUUAUCCGGCUAUGGCCCGCCGAGCCAAUUCCAAACAGUUACUUCAGGCUCGUGAAGCGGCUUGUAAGCGCUUGCCCCGACUUGAUGUCAUCAAGCGGUCGGUCUGCAUAA